rnacentral:misc_RNA from 1 species
GAUGAAGAACGUAGCGAAAUGCGAUAAGUAAUGUGAAUUGCAGAAUUCAGUGAAUCAUCGAAUCUUUGAACGCACAUUGCGCCCGCUGGUAUUCCGGCGGGCAUGCCUGUUCGAGCGUCAUUUCAACCCUCAAGCUCUCCGGAGUUUGGUGUUGGGGCGCCUGGGGCUUUUCGACCUCAGGGCCCUCAAGUCCAUCGGCGGGACCGCCAGGACACUGAGCGCAGUAGUAUUAUUUCGCUCGGUAGGAUCUCCCACGGCGGGUCGAUCUGGCCGCUAAACCCCCCAAUUCUCACCAAAGGUUGACCUCGGAUCAGGUAGGAAUACCCGCUGAACUUAAGCAUAUCAAUAAGCGGAGGA